GACAGAGGGGGCAAGCGUUGCUCGGAAUCACUGGGCGUAAAGGGCGCGUAGGCGGGAUGGCAAGUCGGUCGUGAAAUCCUUCGGCUCAACCGAAGAACGUCGGCCGAUACUGCCGUUCUUGAGGGAUGCAGAGGAGAUUGGAAUUCCCGGUGUAGCGGUGAAAUGUGUAGAGAUCGGGAGGAACACCAGUGGCGAAGGCGAGUCUCUGGACGACUCCUGACACUGAGGCACGAAAGCUGGGGGAGCAAACAGG
rnacentral:rRNA from 1 species